rnacentral:ncRNA from 1 species
UGAGGUAGAGGUCGCGAACGCUAUAAGUAAACUAUCCGAAAUGAAAAAGCAUUACUGACGAUAGUUGAAAGGAACGUUUGCCGAAGUAUUUCAAAUGCUUUUUCGUUUGAAUGCUGGGGCUGUCGCUUAAUAGGUGCAGAACUGUCACGUGAAAACGUGUUGAGCUAUCU